UCUCAGACCUCAUUAAACCUUAAAAAAUUAUUUGGUGCCGGGCGAUGGUGGCGCACACCUUUAAUCCCAGCACUGGGGAGGCAGAGGCAGGGGGAUCUCUAUGAGUUCGAGGCCAGCCUGGUCUACAGAGCUAGUUCCAGGACAGGCUCCAAAGCCACAGAGAAACCCUGUCUCGAAAAACCAAAAAAAAAAAAAAAAAAAAAAAUUAUUUGGUUUUUCUUUGUUUGAGAAAGGGCUUCACUUUGUUCAGACAGGCCUGCAGCUCACCACAAACACCACAGGGGCAGAGGUCACAUCUACUUGUUAUAGUUAAUUUCUCAGAGCUUUGGACAGUGUCCUCAUAGAGACAGGUGGACCUCUGUGCAUUCGAGGCCAGCCUGGUCUACAGAGCUAGUGCCAGAAUGCCUCAUACGUAAAAGGCAAAGGGAAUUUUUUGUUUGUUUUUGAGACAGGGUUUCUCUGUGUAGCCCUGACUAUCCUGGAACUCACACUGUAGACCAGGCUGGCCUCAGACUCACUGAGAUCACCCUGCCUCUGCCUCCCGAGUGCUGGGAUUAAGGUGUGCACCAUCACCGGCUGGCUAUGGCAAAUGGAAUUUAUACUGGAUAGCCAAGCAGGCUAAUUCCUGAAGAACUGACUGCAACUUCAUUUUAGCCAGGAAAAGCUCUGUUUGACUAACAUUUCACGGGGGAUACAGAAACACAAGUGAAGCCCGAGUCAGAGAAGUUGGCACUAGUUGCUCAGAGCCUUCACCCCCGCAUUACACCUUCUUAAAUGGAGCUUAAAAAAAUUUAUGUGUGUGUAUGUGCGUGUGUGUGUCUGUCUGUCUGUCUGUCUGUCUGUGCAGGUGCACAUGAAGGUCAGUGGCAUGGAAUCCCUUGGGGCUGGAGUUACAGGUGUUUGUGAGCCAUCCGACAUGGCAGCUGGGAACCAAAUCAGGGGCUUGUUGAAGAGCAGGAAGCACUCUUAGCCACUGGGAUGCCUCUCCAAACCAAUCUCCUCUCUUCUAAAUCAAGUUUCCUUUUCCAUUGGAUCAUCCCUAUGAAUCGUCCCAAAUUUGAUCUGACCCAUCUUUUAAAACCCGAACCAUUCUCGACUUCCUCUCUUUCCACUCCUAUGCUCCCGUCACAGAAAAACCAAAGAACCAACCAACCAUCCGCACUGAAUUAUCUGUAGUAGAUGCUGUUGUCACACAGCCUGUGCCCGUGGCUUUUGUGCAGGCUACGCAGGUGCUCUAGCGGCCAGCUGUGCUGCACCCCUGGCUUGGCCCUUGACCUUUGAACUUUGAGAGUCAACACAAAGAUUUAACGCGGAAAGGAGUCCAUUUCCUGAAUGACAUCUCUGGGGACUGUCAUGGUGGAAGAAGAGAACGAAUCCCUGCAAACUGUCCUCAGAUCACACCCCACCUGGCAACACAGGCACACACAAAUAAACAAGCGCAGAUUUUCACCUUGAACUUUAUGAAGCGUUCCUAUGAAUGUAAAUAGGGGAGCAAUAAAAUGACUAAAAAUAAGUUGCGUAAUUUCUACGUAAACAAAAAGAACUGAAGAAGAACAAACCCUUCUGAAGCAAUCCUCAAAUUGCAAAAGUUAAGGAAGGAGAAUGAGGAACAGCCGAGAGGAGAACACAUAAGACACGUUCGGUGACGAGUACACCAGGCCGGUGUGGUGGCACAAGCCUUUCACCGCAGCUCAGGAGGAGAGGCAGAAAAUCUCUAGGAUCUCUAGUCUGGCCCAGACUGGUUACUAGCCCCCUAUUAGCUCGCCCAGUGGUGAGCUGCACACCUGCUCCCUCUGCCUCACCUCUGCAGUGCUGGGAUUGCAGCGGGGAUCACAUGGCCAUCUUCCCAACCCAACCCGGGACUUCAUAUGCACAGGCAAGGACUCUACCUCCUGCGUCCUCCACUUCUUUGAAACUCACUUUCCAACUGCUCUUGAUUUUUGUAGGACUUGAGUCUACCAUAUACAUUACACAUAUUUCCUCAUUUAAGAUUAGGGUUCUCAUUUCGCGGUGCUUUUAUAAAAGCUAUUUUAAAAACUUUGAACUGUCAAUUUUUUCUUUAUAUAUUUUUCCAACUCAGAUUUUCUUUUCUCGACCCAGAAUUUUAAAAUAGUCCUCUUCCUUCCCCCACAGCGAAGUUCUGUUUUCCUGUUGAAUUGUCAGUCCUAAGGCUCUGAUGGAAUUUUCCUCUAGCUAUCUUAGAAGAAGCAUUUAUUGUAUAAUUAGUUAUCCAGAUUCAAAAUGCUGCUUUUACAAACAAAAACAGUCACAUAGCCUGACUGUCCGUGCGAUCUCUCUCCCAGCCCAUGGCACUGAUUGCUUUAGAGUGUCCUCCUCCCGUCACCCCUCUCAAACAUUUUCUAAACAGAUCUUCCAUACAUAACAGGCAAGAUUAUCAUAUUUAUAGAUUAAAUUUUCUAGUUCAGAGAAAAAUUCAUCCUUAUCAGUCCUGUUAAGAAACAUAAGUGCCUGAUUGAGGUCCCGAGAGGAAGAUCCACCAUCUAUGGACAGACAAUGACUCUUCCUUCACGAUCUCGGGAACCACCCACAUUUCACGGCCCUGCCAGCAGCACUGACAGCCUGUGUGGACGCCAACAAACUGGGAAAGCCACAGGGGAGCAGAGAGCAAGAGUAUCCUAGCACGACCUGCACUGGCCUCGUGAGACCAGCUUCAGUUCCAUUGCUUCUUCUCAAGCAAGAAGCACCUCGGACAGCUAUCUGUUUUCAGGACGCGCAUCUGUCAGCUUCCACACAGGCGCCGCUUGCAUUAACGAGGAAAACUGGAAUAUAAAACAGACGACGCCAACCAUAUUCCUAACCACCGACUGCUGGAAUCCCUCCAGCUGCCUGGACCUUUCAGCCGUCUCCUGCUCCAAAGGCCCUUCUAGGACAGUUGAUGAAAGAAUCCUGCAUUUUCUGGAGAUAAGGCAUGUGGUCUUUUUGGCUUCCUACUUUUAUUCCCCGUCCACUUACACCUGAGGCGUUACCGCACUGAUGAUGACUUCCCCCUCCCACUUACACCUGAGGUGUACCACACUGCUGCUGGCUCCUGGGGUUUAGGAAGGAACAGACCCAGUAUUUAAUCUGUGUUGUAUUUUUUCAGGGUGGUGUGUGGAAUGCCUCUGCUCUUUGAAAUAUUCUGGAGAACUGGACUCUUACUGAUUAUAAUUUUCAAGAGUAAAAUAAAAAUUUAAAACAUUCCAACAUUUCCUUUAUAACGCCAAAGAAUUAUAAUGCACUGGUCUUUUUCAUUUGUGGAGUUAAGGUGAAUCCAUACAAAGAUGAGAUAUUUGAAGAUUGCUAUUAUUUUUGAGGCAAGGUCUUGUAGUCCAGGCUACCCUUGAUCUCACAAUCUAGCAGAGAAGGCCCUUCAGCUCCUGCUUCUCCUGCUUCUGCCUCCCAACUUCAGGCCUUACAGGUAUGCUGCUACACAACCUGGCUGGCAAGAUUAUUAUUUUAAUUUUUUCCAUUUACCUUAUACCAUUAUCAAGACAACCCGAUAAUAACACAGCAUAUAAAAUUUAGUAAGUCUAUAUCUCCAAGUGGUAGAUCUUUAAAAACAUUAUUUAAAAACUUAAUGUGCACACGGCCAUCAUUUGUAUAUGUAAUAUGUGCAUACUGCCAUUAUCGUGUGUUAUGAAGCCAGGCCAGGAAAGGACCACUAAUAAUCCCAACACUCAGGAGGUGGAAGGUGGAGGGUGGAGGAUCAGGAGCUCCAGGGUGGUACCUGAGACCAGUUUCAAAACAAAAC